UGACUGAGUGGCGGACGGGUGAGUAACGCGUGGGUAACCUGCCUCAUACAGGGGGAUAACAGUUGGAAACGACCGCUAAUACCGCAUAACCCGCUAGGGCCGCAUGGCCCGGACGGAAAAGAUUUAUCGGUGUGAGAUGGACCCGCGUUGGAUUAGCUAGUUGGCAGGGUAACGGCCUACCAAGGCGACGAUCCAUAGCCGGCCUGAGAGGGUGAACGGCCACAUUGGGACUGAGACACGGCCCAA
rnacentral:rRNA from 1 species